CAGAGACAGGGAGACUACCUCUGUGUCAGGUGGACCGGACACCUAAAGGAACUCAGGGUGUGGUGACCAACUUUGAGAUCUUCAGGAUGAGAGAGAAGCAGGUUCUUGUUGACGUGGUGGAGAUGAAGGGAACCCGGAAUCUAAAACUGCGGAGAGCAUCAUAGCGUUUGCGUAGGGAGCCCAACGGCAGUAAGUUUGCCGUCCUGCACCAGUGAAUCGCCCAGAAUCAACGCCUCGUUCUACCACGUCAAGAACAACGGGAAGAUCGAACUCAUCAGUGAGUACAACCUUUACCUGAAAUAUCUCACACGGAAAGGAACCUUUAAAAACGUUGACUCUGUAAUGUCUGUAAGGAUCGACUCUGUAAUGUCUGUAAUGUCUGUAAGGAUCGACUCUGUAAUGUCUGUAAGGAUCGACUCUGUAAGGAUCGACUCUGUAAUGUCUGUAAGGAUCGACUCUGUAAUGUC